AGUGAACGCUGGCGGUAGGCCUAACACAUGCAAGUCGAACGGCAGCACAGUAAGAGCUUGCUCUUACGGGUGGCGAGUGGCGGACGGGUGAGGAAUACAUCGGAAUCUACUUUUUCGUGGGGGAUAACGUAGGGAAACUUACGCUAAUACCGCAUACGACCUACGGGUGAAAGCAGGGGAUCUUCGGACCUUGCGCGAUUGAAUGAGCCGAUGUCGGAUUAGCUAGUUGGCGGGGUAAAGGCCCACCAAGGCGACGAUCCGUAGCUGGUCUGAGAGGAUGAUCAGCCACACUGGAACUGAGACACGGUCCAGACUCCUACGGGAGGCAGCAGUGGGGAAUAUUGGACAAUGGGCGCAAGCCUGAUCCAGCCAUACAGCGUGGGUGAAGAAGGCCUUCGGGUUGUAAAGCCCUUUUGUUGGGAAAGAAAAGCAGCAGGUUAAGACCCCGCUGUUCGGACGGUACCCAAAGAAUAAGCACCGGCUAACUUCGU
rnacentral:rRNA from 1 species